CCUACGGGUGGCAGCAGUAGGGAAUAUUGGGCAAUGGACGCAAGUCUGACCCAGCCAUGCCGCGUGCAGGAAGACGGCCCUCUGGGUUGUAAACUGCUUUUAUCAGGGAAGAAACCCUUCUACGUGUAGGAGGCUGACGGUACCUGAGGAAUAAGGAUCGGCUAACUCCGUGCCAGCAGCCGCGGUAAUACGGAGGAUCCAAGCGUUGUCCGGAUUUAUUGGGUUUAAAGGGUGCGUAGGCGGACUUAUAAGUCAGAGGUGAAAGCCGGUAGCUUAACUAUCGAAUUGCCUUUGAAACUGUAAGUCUUGAAUUUUGUUGAGGUAGGCGGAAUGUAUCAUGUAGCGGUGAAAUGCAUAGAUAUGAUACAGAACACCGAUUGCGAAGGCAGCUUACUAAGCAAAUAUUGACGCUGAGGCACGAAAGCGUGGGGAUCAAAC
rnacentral:rRNA from 1 species